GUGAACGCUGGCGGUAGGCCUAACCCCUGCCAGUCGCACGGCAGCACAGUAAGAGCUUGCUCUUACGGGUGGCGAGUGGCGGACGGGUGAGGAAUACAUCGGAAUCUACUUUUUCGUGGGGGAUAACGUAGGGAAACUUACGCUAAUACCGCAUACGACCUACGGGUGAAAGCAGGGGAUCUUCGGACCUUGCGCGAUUGAAUGAGUCGAUGUCGGAUUAGCUAGUUGGCGGGGUAAAGGCCCACCAAGGCGACGAUCCGUAGCUGGUCUGAGAGGAUGAUCAGCCACACUGGAACUGAGACACGGUCCAGACUCCUACGGGAGGCAGCAGUGGGGAAUAUUGGACAAUGGGCGCAAGCCUGAUCCAGCCAUACCGCGUGGGUGAAGAAGGCCUUCGGGUUGUAAAGCCCUUUUGUUGGGAAAGAAAAGCAGCAGGUUAAUACCCCGCUGUUCUGACGGUACCCAAAGAAUAAGCACCGGCUAACUUCGUG
rnacentral:rRNA from 1 species